CUGACUUCAAACUGAUUUGGAUCAAGAUACAGUGACUUUAAGUGUGGAUAAGGCAUUCAGAGUUGAGGCUGGAUGAGUUCUGUCAUGCUUAUGAAGUCAUGAAAGCAUCUGGAUACACUACAGAAACCCUCAACCAAAAGCUUUUUGAAGUCUCUUUCUAAUACAAUCAUCCAGGCUUGCUCCACUAAACCAGGCUGCUCAACUAUCUGGAUAAGAAGACUCACCACCUUGGAAUUAGAGCUGGGAAAUGUUUUUGGAAAAACAGAAGAGGUGCUGGAGGAGAAUAGUGUUGUCUCUCUGGCCUGGCAGGUCACAGCUGAAAUUAAUCAUGAGAGAUUUAGCACUGAAGUGGGGGAGAAAGCUGAAAAACUAGGAGAGGCACUGCUCGAACACUGGCAAGCCUAAUGUAUCUUUCCAAAAAGAAGGAUGGAGGAUUUGCUCCGUUGUUUUUAAGGAACCAUGACUGAACACAGAGGGAACAGGGAGAUCUGUUGAAAAUUGAAAAUACUGGAGACAGUAAAGUGUGUUGUGCAAGGGCUUCUGUUGGCCAGAAGAAGUGAAAUAACAGCUCACUUCCUAAAAUGGAGAUAUCCCCACAUUUUGUUCCUGGCUGAGGAGAACAGUAUUAUUUGCCAUAUAUCUGACAAGUACCAGGGCAUUUUGCACCCUAUAAAAUUCCUAUAAUUUACCUGAAACUGCCAGUAAAUUGACUUAAACCUAAAUAGUGUAUCUUCCUUGAAAAGAAGCCACUGUUCUGUGGGGUUUUUUUUUUUUUGUUUGUUGGUUGGUUCUUUUUGUUGUUUUUGUUUUGUUUGGUUUGAUUUUGGUUUUUUUUUUACUGGUUAGUCUGUUACUGCUUAUAUUGCUCCCAGAUUCCUUGGGGCUUAAAUGUUUCGGGCAUGUUGUUAGAACAACAAAUUAAAAUUGGAACUUGGAAAAUCCUGUAUUUGGAAUUUAUUUGCACAGUUAAGCAGCAAAAGACUGUUCCUUGAAAGGGGAGAGCAGUCAAGGUCCACUCAUGCAGUGUGGGGAAAAUGACUGGUAGGUGACAGUGGAGGAAACCCAAAUAUACUGUGGGACUCCUCACCCUGGGAACGAUUCAUCAUUCCAUCCAGAGGAGCAGGUAGCCUCCCUCUCUCUGUUUGGGAUCCUAAGAUUGCAAGUUUAUUUUGAUUUUAAUUUUAACUUCACUC
rnacentral:lncRNA from 1 species